UAAGUGUGACACUGCCACAGAGAACAGAGAGAAGCAGCAGAAUUUUAUUAAGCUUUUGAAGAGUGCGGAGUAGUGCCUUGAGAUCAGAACUUUCCCACAUUGCCUGUAUGGACACAUAGAAUCAGCGGCAGUGUCAGGAGCAAAUGGCCAGGUCAGGUGGAGUGCAGCAAGAAGAGUUGCAAAGGCUUCCUCAUGAAAGGUAGUGCCGAGUGCUGCUGUUGGGUCCUAACAACCCCAUUCUGUAGGGAUUGACAGAUGUAACAAUCCCAUUCAGGCUUGGGGAAGAGUGGAUAGAAUGUGUCCUGACAGAAAAGGAGGACCUGAGGGUUUUGUUUGACAGCCAGCUGAACACAAGCCAGCAGUGUGUCCCAUGGCCAAGAAGGCCAAUGGCAUCCUGACCUGCAUCAGAAACAGUGUGGCCAUCAGGACUAGGGAAGUGCUUGUCCUGCUUAAGCCCCAUUUUGAUGAUUUUGUGAAUCCUUCCUAUCACAUCACCCCAUGCCUUCUGCUCAGCGGCUGCAUCAGUCACUCCCUCACAGGGCUUCUGGUUAUUCUCUCCUUUUCCCCCUUCUUUAUAGUUUAAAGCCCUCCUCAGGAGGUCUGCCAUCCCCUCAGUAGGAACAUUUUUGCCAUGCUGUGUGAGACUGGGGCAGCGUAAGGCAGCCAGGGCUAGAAGCUUGUGGCUGCUGGUGUGACACACUCCUCCCCACUGCUCCCUACCCCAUGCUCACCUCUUCCUCCACCAAGGAAUCGUCAGGCCUGUGAGAAGCAGGAUUUACACUCAGUGCCUUAAUGAUUCUACAGUUCUGUGAUUUCCAUGCAUGUCACCAGCUGGGGAUGCAGGCUACUUGUCAAUGACUAUAGAAUCUCAUGAUACCAGCAGGCACACAGGUCCCUUCUGAUGAGUGGGUUGUUGGUCCACAGACCAGCUGAUGGAGACUGUGGUGUCCCUGCUGGUUCAGUAAGAUGUACUGGAGCUCGGGGGUGAAACCAGCAGGCGUCGUGUCCUGUCAUGGUGCAGCAUUGGUCAAGCUGCACAG